AAUAGUAGUGGCUCUGAGCUGAAUCCUGCAAUGGGAAAUGCUGACGGUCUCCUACUACGUGAGGAACCCUUCUGUUAUUGAAAAGAUGGAAGAACAGCUUAUUCACAUGCAUGUUUCCAGUAUAUUUGUUAAUUUGAAAGCUGUAAAGUUUUUGGAGCCUAACAUUGCAGGAGCAAAKCAUGGCAAGGAGAGGAGAAGGCUGCGAGAGAGGAAGCCCACGUAAGCCUACACCGAGGUCGCUGGGGAGCAGGCUGUGCAUGCGGGCCCUCUGUCCUGGGACCAAAGAACAAGCGAGUAAACGAAGGGCGGCGAGUGUUUCGGUGCCCGCGGACGGUUGGGCACCCGCCGUGCCUGGGACCCUCCUGCUCUCCUCCCCUCGCCCCAUCCCUGCCCUGCAGUGCCUGCCCGCCUGGCACGUCUGUUUGCACCAUUGCAGCGGGGAACCACAGCAGGGAACGGAUUCAGACAAAAAAUCAUCUCCAAGAAGUAAAAUAAAAGGCUGUUUUUCUUCCAGUGAAGAGAGAAACCAAGUGCAGGAAAAGAGGCGGAGGAGAGCUGAGGGGAAGGGAUGCUGGGCAGCUGCAGCAAGAAAAACUUCUGAAACAGGAAGUAUCAAAUCAAGCGCGUAUGAAAAGCCUGAGAUGACCAAACCAGAUUAAAAAUGUGAAAAGGCAGUUACAUUUUUUACAUCAUAAUCUGUGCCACUUUAAUCCCUCACUGCAUGACACCUGGGGGGGGCUGGGGCAUGUAUGUCAGAAAUAAAAACUUGCAAUGCUGUGCCA
rnacentral:lncRNA from 1 species